UGUGUAGGAAUCUACCUAGAGGAGUGGGAUAACUUGAGGAAACUCAAGCUAAUACCGCAUAAUAACUACGGUUUAAAGCAGGGGAACUUCGGUCCUUGCGCCUCAUGAUGAGCCUACACCGGAUUAGCUUGUUGGUGGGGUAAAGGCCUACCAAGGCGACGAUCCGUAGCAGGUCUGAGAGGAUGACCUGCCACACUGGGACUGAGACACGGCCCAGACUCCUACGGGAGGCAGCAGUGGGGAAUAUUGGACAAUGGGCGAAAGCCUGAUCCAGCAAUGCCGCGUGUGUGAAGAAGGCCU
rnacentral:rRNA from 1 species